GACGAACGCUGGCGGCGUGCUUAACACAUGCAAGUCGAACGGUGAAGCCCCAGCUUGCUGGGGUGGUUCAGUGGCGAACGGGUGAGUAACACGUGAGCAACCUGCCCCUGACUCUGGGAUAAGCGCUGGAAACGGCGUCUAAUACUGGAUACGAGAAGGGUCCGCAUGGGCACUUUCUGAAAAGUUCGGCGGUUGGGGAUGGGCUCGCGGCUUAUCAGCUUGUUGGUGGGGUAAUGGCUUACCAAGGCGAUGACGGGUAGCCGGCCUGAGAGGGCGACCGGCCACACUGGGACUGAGACACGGCCCAGACUCCUACGGGAGGCAGCAGUGGGGAAUAUUGCACAAUGGGCGAAAGCCUGAUGCAGCGACGCCGCGUGAGGGAUGACGGCCUUCGGGUUGUAAACCGCUUUCGGCAGGGAAGAAGCGAGAGUGACGGUACCGGCAGAAGAAGCACCGGCUAACUACGUG
rnacentral:rRNA from 1 species